AAAAAAGUAAUUUCUCUCGGCUUGACGCAUUUUCGCGUAGGUAAACGUACACAAUAGACUCGAUAAUAAUAAUAUCGACGGGCAAUAAUUAUGCGGUGUUGAGUUAAUAAUAACAAUUAUUGUUGAUUCGCGCGUCGUUAAUUGCCUCGGCGAUAUUAGAGAGUUUUCGGGCACGCGCGACAAAACUGUACGGCUGCGUCAAGAGCCGUAGGGAUCACACGAGGAUCCACAGCGGGGGUAUUUUUGAAAUAUUAUCAUCGCCGAAAGAAUUUGUAUU